UCUGAAAGCUGUAGCUUCCCCCGGCAUCCCCAAGCCGUUGCAGUAGUGGCGUGUUGGGGUUCAUCGGCGAACAUCCCCCAACGGCGCUCAUGCUCGAAGGGGGCUUGCCAUGUUCAACCCCAUCUCCGGCGAUUGGCUCCUCGCCCACAUCAGCCGCGUGGUCCUCGACGACGACGCCCUCGCGCUCCUCCUCCUCCUCCGCCUCGACAAGACUCUCUCCAGCCUCUCGCUCCACCUCCUCGCACACUCCUGCAGCAAAUGAAAAAUUCUCAGGCGUCAACAGCAUGCCAGAAAGAUUGAGGCUGUCUUUUAUAUGUGUGGGCAUGCAGUUGCUACUUUGAGGUGGCAGUUUUCUGCUAUAAAUUGCAGCUGAAGCAUGGAAUGUCUUACCAGUGGAUGGUAACGUUGUGAGAUGCAUGGUUGACGACCUUGACAAGAACAUUAUCGCCUUCCCUUGCAUAGAGGGUCGGCCCCGGGAACUUGCCAUUAACAGUGAGGAUGGACUUGGUUGAGCAAAGCCGUGUCAUGUUCCUCAUAACCACCUGCACGAGUGAAACCAUGGUAAACCAUCACGGCAGCCUGAGUUCUGUAGCCGCCUCAUGGUGUAAGGGUGGCCGUUUUGUCUUUUUUUAUUGGCGCUGGGCCAGAUUGGUUUUCACAGUAUUAUGUUGCAUCAGAAAGGAAAAUGACAUUUCGAAAUUAUGGCAAAGAAAGCAUUGUACUCCAUAUCGGGUUGUGUAAAGAGUGGUGCAAUGCUAUACGACCCUGGCUACAUGCAGAAAAGAGUCAUUAGCUAUUUAUUGCUCCUCCGUGUCGGGUGAUGGCAUGGACGCUGAGAGCCUGAAGCAGGAAGCAGCUGGCCAUGAGGGGGAGGAGCAGCUGAUCAAGACGGCGAGGCAUGGCCAUGCUGCCUGGCACUGGCAGAGCUACCUGAUCGGAGGAGACAAGGACGAACGACGAUGCCUGUGAGUCGAGACAGUGCAGUAUGCCUGGUUGCAUGGAAUGACAGGCCGGGCGACGCAUGGUUUUAAUGGCCCAGGGAGGGGGCUGGGGCGGUGUUGGGUUUCUAGCUGCCAUGUCGUUUUUCAUUUUAGGUGAG